UACUAUUUAACUUAGGUACAACCCUGCCCUCUGACUUUUAACAGCCGCGGUAUCCUAACCGUGCUAAGGUAGCAUAAUCACUUGCCUAUUAAUUAUAGGCUAGAAUGAACGGGAUCACUCACUUAAACUUAUUUUUAUUUAAAUUUAAAUUAAACUUUAAGUCAAAAUACUAAAUUAAAAAGAAAGACAAAAAGACCCUGAAAACUAUUAGAAAUAAUUAGUUGGGGCAACUAAAGACCACUCUAGCGUCUAUUUUUUUUAACUCUUAAAAUCUAAAGUAUCCAGUUACUUCAGGGAUAACAGACUAAUUUUAUUAUUUAGACCCAAUAAAUAAUAAAGAUUGGCACCUCGAUGUUGGCUUAUAUUUCCUUCAUAUAGCAACAUAUAUAGAAGGCAGCUUGUUCAUCUGUUAAAUAUUUACAUGAG
rnacentral:rRNA from 1 species